rnacentral:misc_RNA from 1 species
GAUGAAGAACGUAGCGAAAUGCGAUAAGUAAUGUGAAUUGCAGAUUUCAGUGAAUCAUCGAAUCUUUGAACGCACCUUGCGCCCUUUGGCCAUUCCGAAGGGCAUGCCUGUUUGAGUAUCAUGAACACCUCAACUCUUUAUGGUUUUCCAUGAUGAGCUUGGACUCUGGGGGUUUUGCUGGCUCACAGUCGGCUCCUCUAAAAUGAAUCAGCUUACCAGUGUUUGGUGGGUAUCAUGGGUGUGAUAACUAUCUACGCUUGUGGUUUUUCCACCAGGUAACCUUCAGCAGUGGAGGUUCGCUGGAGCUCAUAGAUGUCUCUCCUCAGUGAGGACAGCCCUUUGAAUGUUUGAUCUCAAAUCAGGUAGGACUACCCGCUGAACUUAAGCAUAUCAAUAAGCGGAGGA